UGGUUUUAAAGAUGGACGUAAUAGGAAGAGUGGGAUUGCGUAAUCCGGCCUUUGUCAUUAUGCUGACUCUGGAGAAAUUGAUUCUAUGGUUAAGGCUGCUAGUUGUGUUUAUGGCUCAUGAAACGAGGAAUUUGAGGUUCAAAACACUGGAACUGCAUUUUUAGCGCAAAGGGUAGGGGGAAAAAACUAGUGACGAGGACAGGCAUUCAAUUAGGGAUUUGGUGCGUCUCAUGUGCAAAAUAGUAGCUAUGGAUGGCUUGACCCAGUGGACCUUGUCCCAUUUGAUCCUUAUUACAUUGAGAAAUCAAAGAAAACAAAUGCGUGGGCUUUUAUGAAUGCUGUUGAAGAGGCAGAGUAUGAGAUCCGAAGGAGGACUGCACUUUGCUUGUUGCACCGGUGUGCAUAAAUCCUUCUUACUUUAGGCAAAAAGUUUUCAAGUUUUCCUCACAGUUGAUCUGUGGGUAUGAGUCUGGUGGGCUUUAUACAGUUAAGCAAAUUAAG
rnacentral:misc_RNA from 1 species